ACCACAUACUUCCAUGUUCAAAAUUUUGAUAUGGUAAAGUUUUUUUUUUUACUUCCGACUGCAAACAACCUAAUUUUCUACACAAAACCUUUUGCUCUGGUGUAUACCUCAAUCCUAUUUGGAAGGGAUAACCACAUACUUCCAUGUUCAAAAUUUUGAUAUGGUAAAGUUUUUUUUUACUUCCGACUGCAAACAACCUAGUUUUCUACAUAAAACCUUUUGCUCUGGUGUAUACCUCAAUCCUAUUGGUCGUUCGUGAUCUGUUAUGCUUGUGCCGCGCUUUUGGUAUAGUCAUCGCUGAUGUUUGGUUGCCAUCAUGCGUUAACAGCGCAGCAUAAUGCUACCUGUUUUUGCGAGCUUGAACUGUGUGUCUGUGCGGCUUCAAGAGUCACAACCCAACCACAUUAUUUAUCAUCUUGCCUUGUGUUACUGUUUUGCCAUGCAACUAUCAUGUGCAGCUCUUGAUGCUGUAGUUUGGGCACUGCGUCCUUUCUCCACUCCCUGCUCCCCAACUGAUAAAUUUUACGAUGCCAGCUAAAAAUAGGUUGCUUUCUACUCCCU
rnacentral:lncRNA from 1 species